rnacentral:rRNA from 1 species
GGGAUUGCCCUAGUAACGGCGAGUGAAGCGGCAACAGCUCAAAUUUGAAAUCUGGCGCAAGCCCGAGUUGUAAUUUGUAGAGGAUGCUUCUAGGUAGCGACCGGUCUAAGUUCCUUGGAACAGGACGUCAUAGAGGGUGAGAAUCCCGUAUGUGACCGGCCCGCACCUUCUACGUAGCUCCUUCGACGAGUCGAGUUGUUUGGGAAUGCAGCUCUAAAUGGGAGGUAAAUUUCUUCUAAAGCUAAAUACCGGCCAGAGACCGAUAGCGCACAAGUAGAGUGAUCGAAAGAUGAAAAGCACUUUGGAAAGAGAGUUAAAAAGCACGUGAAAUUGUUGAAAGGGAAGCGCUUACAACCAGACUUCUGGGCGGUGUUCCGCCGGUCUUCUGACCGGUCUACUCACCGUCCCGAGGCCAACAUCAUCUGGGACCGCCGGAUAAGACCUUAGGAAUGUAGCUCCCCUCGGGGAGUGUUAUAGCCUGUGGUGAUGCGGCGCGUCUCGGGUGAGGUCCGCGCUUCGGCAAGGAUGUUGGCGUAAUGGUUGUCAGCGGCCCGUCUUGAAACACGGACCAAGGAGUCUAACAUCUAUGCGAGUGUUCGGGUGUCAAACCCCUACGCGUAAUGAAAGUGAACGGAGGUGGGAAGGGUAACCUGCACCAUCGACCGAUCCUGAUGUCCUCGGAUGGAUUUGAGUAAGAGCAUAGCUGUUGGGACCCGAAAGAUGGUGAACUAUGCCUGAAUAGGGUGAAGCCAGAGGAAACUCUGGUGGAGGCUCGCAGCGGUUCUGACGUGCAAAUCGAUCGUCAAAUUUGGGUAUAG